GCGCCCACCCCUGGGGACGAGAAGGCGGCCGCCUGAGGACCCCCGCCCGCGACCUCCGCGAGUCUGGAGCGCAGAGGACAGGGUCUGGCUGCUCUUUGGCCUUGGAUGGAAAGUGGGGAAUUGGGUGGGGGGCUGCGGACCCCUUAACGUGGAUUACUUGGUGUGUAUCAGCUGGGCUCAGAAGACCCACGACCUCUUCUCCAUCCGUGGAUUGAUUUGUUCUGCUUAACAGCUGGGUCGCCAAGCUGGAGUUCAUCCAAUUUUUCUUUUCUUUAAACUUCCAUAAUACUGACAGCUAUAAUAUCAUAUACUGCCAUGAUGGUUCCACAUACAUGGAUCUUUUUUCUUCCGUAUAGUCAUAGGUGUGCACUCUGAUUUCAUAGCACCUGGCCUCAUGCUGACUCUAGUAAAGACUUAAUACAGCGGACCCUUGAACAUUGCAAGGGUUAGGGAUGCUGGUCCUCCGUGCAGCUGAAAAUCCACAUGUAACUUUGGACUUCCCUAAAACUUAACUGCUAAUAGCCUCCCGUUGACUAGUAGUCUUACCAAUAACAUAGUCGCCCAGGUCUGUUACCCACACUGGAAAUUGUUAGCAUGCUUGUCAAGGCCUGUAGCCCCUGACUCCCCUAGGUGAAUGUCAGGAUCCCUCCCAGGAGUAUGUGUGUGAGAGAGUGUAUGUGAGUGUGUCUGAGUGUAUGUGUGAGUGUGCAUAUCUGGUGUGUGUGUGUCUGUAUGUCUGUGUAUGAGUGUGUGGGUGUGUAUCUUGGUGUAUGAGUGUGUGUGCCUGGGUGUGUAUAUGAGUGUGAGUGUGCAUAAGUGUGUGGGUGUGUGUAUGAUUGUGUAUAUCUGGGUUUCUGCCUGUGUGUGUAUGAGUGUGUGUGUGCGCGUCUGAGUCUUGUGCGUCUCUGUGUGUCUGGGUGUAUGAUGAAAUGUGUGCAUAUGUGUGUGUGUAUGUGUGCCCAGGUGUAUGUGUGGAUGGGUGUGUGUGGGAUGUGUGCAUGGGUGUGUGUGUGUGUGCAUGUGUGACCAGGUAUAUGAGUGGAUGGGUGUGUGUGGGGUGUGUGCAUGGGGUGUGUGCACGUGUGUGUGUGUGUGUGCCCAGGUGUAUGAGUGGAUAGGUACACGUGUGGGAUGUGUGCACAUGUGUGAAUGUGUGCCCAGGUGUAUGAAUGUGUUGAUGGGUGUAUGGGAAUGUGUACAUGAAAUGUGUGCGUAUGUGUGUGCAUGUGUGCCCAGGUGUAUGACUGUGUGGAUAAAUGUGUGGGGGGUGCGUGCACAUGUGUGAGCGUAUGUGUGCCCAGGUGUAUGAGUGUGUGGAUAGGUGCAUGUGUGGGAUGUGUGCAUGGAGUGUCUGCACAUGUGUGAGUGUGUGUGCGCCCACGUGGAUGAGUGUGUGGAUGGGUGUGUGUGGGCUGUGCAUGGGGUGUGUGCACAUGUGUAACUAGAUGUAUGAGUGUGUACAUGUGCACAUGUGUGCGUGCAUGUAUCCACAUUUGUGAGUUGUGUGCACAGAGGCUACUGCCUCCACAGGUGUCUUUUUCACAUGCGUCAGCGUGACCUGCCAAGACUCACAGUUCCACGCGUCUGGGGGCGGGACUUUCUGUCUUUAUCUGCUGGUUUAAUGAGUUUGACUCCUUAUAAGAAACACAUUUUCUUAUUUUUUUCCAAGUGUUUAGUUGGGCACCUGCUGUGACCCCCACCAGGGGUCACUUACACCAAGGUCGUCCCUUCCCGCCUUCCCAUCCGUGUUUCCCUGUGGCUAAGGUUUCACUUCCACUCAGCAGGGAUAUGAAAGCUGCUCCUGUCUCUUGUGAUUGAGUCGUAAGCUGGGGGUGAAAAGGAGACAAUUUUUACUGGAGUUGGAUCUCAGGAGGUGAGGGGAGAACUGGGUUAAGCGGGGGCUUUAGCCAUGGAAAAAGUAGAUUCUUAGGCUCAGCUUCUGCUUAAGGCUAGGCAGGGAUUGGGGGUGGUGUUGGGAGAGCCCUCCAUGCUGAGUUAUGGUUUUGGCUUUGAUGUUGCUGGUUUUAGGAGGCACCAACAAAGCUAUGGACAGGAGGAUUUGGGAGAGAUUUACUUACCCACGGUAUGUAAGAGAAGAUUGGGGAUGAGGAGUGAGGAGAAGGCUGGAGACCAGUUAGAGGCUACCGUAGCAGCGUAGAGAGGCUGAAAAUCUAACUAGGGUGGAAGCAGCCAGGCAGGCUGGUCCUAAUGUUGGGAGUUGUUCAGAUCUGGUGGAGAGGUCAUUACUUAUAGAGUUAUUAAUUUAUACCCCACCUUAAUUGCAAAGAGAUUCAAAGCAGUAAGCCAUCACUUUAGAAUUUAAUGUUCUGUUUUCCUUUUUAUUUACUCAUUCAGCAGCUAUUUCAAUGCCUGCUGUGUGCCAGGUGCUAUUCUUAGUGCUUUACUUGUUGUAUGUGUUAUCUAAUGCUGUGUAACAAAUUACUCCUGAACUUACCAACUCACAACAACAUUUAUUAGCUCACAGUUUCUGUGGAGCAGGGAUCUAGAUGUGGCUUAGUUGGGGUUGCUGGCCUGGGGUCUCUCCUAAGGCUGCAGCCCUUUCAUUGUGAGAGUUGAAUGACAAUUGCUAGACAUUUGCCUAUGUAGUUUUAGAAAGAUUCUAACUGGAGCAGCGCUUGGCUGGAGGAGGUCAAUUGUAUGUCUGCGGAAAGGGUUCAGACAGACUUGUCAUCAUUUCCUGGCGCUGACCCUGGCUCUUACCUGGAAAGCCCCUAAACCACCCACCCCAGGGAUCCACGGUGCAGGGAAGGUGGUCAUGCAGAAAACAACCUCUAGCGAGUUGCUCGGCUGAGGCCCUCUGUAGGUGACCUUGUCUUGCCUCCAAAAGACUGGACCUCCUUUUCUUCUUCAGUGGUAAAAGGAGUUUCUUGGUGCCACCGUGGGCUCUGGGCAGAGACUGUGCCUUCCUCCCUUUUGUGUCUGAGUCGCCCCGCAUGCUUUGGCGCAGGGAGUUUGGGCCAGAGCGAUCUCCAGCCCCUUCCAGUUCACUGGCUCUGUGAUAAGGUUCCUGGGGAUUUUGUGUCAUGUUGCUUGGAAACCAGAUGGAAAUAGGCCAAUUACCAUUGAAGUGGGGCGGCUCCUGAAUGUUCCAGGACCAGGAGAUUUGAGCUAGGCUUGGGACCUUCUCUUUGCUGGGUCUCUCCCUGGUCCUGCCUCCUAAGAAAGAGAAAACAUUAUUUCAUUUGUGUAGUUUUGCUCUUGCUGAGUUUUAAACGUCAAAAGCAGCAUAUGUGUAAGCCUUUGCCUCCUAUUUUGAGUAUUAGGGCAGUGACAUUUUCUUUAGCCUGGGGAUUGCCAUGCACAGUGUGGUGUUGGAGAACAUUAAUACUGGAGGAAGCCUUGAGUUCUACGCCAUGUUCUGUUACAGGCUGCAUCUGUCCCGGCACACAUCAUAGAGCCUUUCUUCCCGGGCCUCAGUUUCUCCUUUGAUAAGGUGGAAGAAAGGACUAGAUCUUUCUUGUAAGGCCCUUCUGGGACUUAACAACAUUCCUGAAUGGGCCCACCCUUGUUUCCCAUUGAUCCCCCGUGAGCCUCCUUUCUCUGGCCUCUAGGCAGUUGCUCCAGCCAUGACAAGCAGGUGUCCACUGAGACCUCAAGAUCUGAUAAGCAGGGUUUGACACCAGGGAAGGGGCCUGGAAUGAAAAUUGUUUCCAAACACCCUUGUUUAUGACUUCCAGAAAUGGUUAAAGCUCUUCUAAUCAGCCAGCACAGAUAGGACCCCUGCCGUGAAUGGAGCCACUGGGAUGAUGGUAUUUGGCUACGAGGGCUCCAGAGCACAGGCCUGCCCUGGAGGCAUUAGAGUAUUUUUCCCUCUCCACCCUGGUCUUCUCCUGUAACGUGUGGCCGCCUUUUCCAGCACGGCCUCCUGCCUUCCUGGUGCACUUUUUGGAGAACGUGGUGGAAUCAGAGGUUUCUGGCUGACUCGGUGGGUGCUUUGAACCAGGAAAGGACAAGAAAGAGCAGAGCCAUUUAGAGGAUUUGCAGAUGGAACUUCCCCUCGGGGUCCAACUGUGAGUCACUGUGGUUCCUGUCCCUGCAGCGGGCUCCAUCUCCAGGCCUCCCACUUCACCCUGGGACAUUAUGGUCGCUGGUCAGACCUCAUGACUCACUUGGACUCUUGAGCCACCUCUGGGGGUGGAGUCUCUCUCCUGGCAUCUGGACCCUUGGUGCUAUCGACGAAGCUUGGCUGGCGCUCUUAGCUGCUAUGUGCAAGACGUGUGUCCCAGGGAAAGCCCCUCUCUCUCUGCAGAGGUCAAGUGAAAGCCACGGCCGCAGCCAACAGAGUUCAAAAUGCAGGCUUGGAAAGUCCAGGGGGCUCUGUGGAGGUGAGACAGCCACAGGCUGAGCUUUCUGAGCCCUUGGGGUGAGUUUGGCUGUGAUACCUGAGAGAUGGGGGAACUAACAAGCGCCGGGUUGCAGUGUCGUCCCAUGCAGAGGAGCGAGCAGAGUUCACCCAAAAGGCCAACGGCUGGCAGGGUGUCACGUUUCCCACCACACCCGGGGCUCAGCCUCUGCUGUCAUUUCUCCUCCUUGGUUUUCAUCUUCUAAGGGAAGAAAUAGUGUCAUCUUUUCUCAACCUGUCAGUCUCACACCUGCCUGGAGCCCCUGGCAGUGAGACACCCAGUGCUGUUUAAUCUGAUGUCAUCUCUGUUGAUUGUCUGUUUUAGAAACCAGGUAGCAAGAGGGACUUUCUGAGGAUUAAAAAAAAAAAAGUAAAUCCCCAAACUAUUUCGGGGAGGAUCACAACUUUUUUUUCUUUUUUUGUCCUGUUUAGAAGAUCAGGUUCAAGUUGCCAGCCAGACUCUGGGCUUCCAGGAGGAGUGGGCUGUGGAUGGCCUGGCCUCAUUUGCAUGUCCCUCUCCUCCCGGCCCUGCAGGUGCCACCUCCUGAGUCCUGGUUCCUGCGGCUCCGUCGAAUCUGCAGUGAAGGCCUUUGGGAAGCGUGGGUUAUGUGGGUCCAGGGGUCCCAUCCUCCCGUGGAGGCCCUUGACCUGAGGAUCACUAACUCACACCCCACCGACUUCCGGCCCCCAACAAGGGCAGUGUUCCUCUUGCUCCAUUCUGCUCUGAAGUCCCCCAAACCGCUUCCUGGGGCUGCUUAGUGAAAUACAAGGCUCAUCUCUGAGGACCUCUACAGGGCUGAGGAUGGGAAGGACUGAUCCACAUUCCCACCAGGAAGUUUAGCAGAACCCCCGCGUGCCACCUGGACCCCUUGGAAGGACCUGGCUCAGGCUGGACCACCUCUUGAGAGGCAGGAGCUCUGGAUUUGAUCAAGAAUUCUUUGCUGAGCAUGGUGCCUCAUGCCUAUAAUCCCAACACUUUGGGAGGCCAGUGUGGGAGGAUCUCUUGAGCCCAGGAGUUCAAGACUAGCCUGGGCAACACAGAGAGACCCCAUCUCUAAAAUAAUAAUAAUAAUAAAAUAAAAAAUUAGCAGGGCAUGGUGGCAUGUGCCUGUAGUCCCAGCUACCCAGGAGGCUGAGGCAAGAGGAUGGCUGGAGCCUGGGAUGUUGAGGCUGCAAUGAACUGUGAUUACCCCACUGCACUCCAGCCUGGGCAAAAGAGCGAGAGACCCUGUCUCAAAUAAUAAUAAUAAUAAUAAUCUUAUUUUGGAGAAUAAAGAGACCUCUGGAUUUGAGGUGCCAUUUGGGUAGAAAGAAAAGACGUUUACACCGAGAAAUAGUCUGUGUUGCCCUGAAGGAGCAGAGGGAUGCAUCGCUGGAGGUGACCUACAGUUGAAGAAGACUCAUUAUGACAGACCUUGUCCUUCUUCCUUGUGGAAAGUGUUUCCUCUGCUGCUACUGCUCAUGAGACUCUUCCCCCUCCCUGUCCCAGGGAACCAAAGGGCUUUCUACCACACCCUUUCUUGCCCCCCGCCUCCCAUGUCUGCUGUGCCUUUGUACUCAGCAAUUCUUGUUUGCUCCAUUAUCUUCCAGCCGGAUACAGAGUGAAUAGUUAACCACACUUAGGUCAAAUAGGAUCUAAAUUUUUGUUCCUGCUCCGUGUAAAGAGGCCAGUGUUUGUGUGUUGCAAGCAGCCUUGGAAUAGUAACUCUUCUCAUUUGUUUGGGAUCUGGCCACCAAGUUCCAGAAUGAUACACGGAUCAGUGCAGAAGUUCAUCAGGCUCUCGGACCUUAGGGCUGUUGGAGAAGGCUUCAGCAGCAGAACUGAUGGUGAAGGCUCGUGUUCUCCAUCCUCAACUUUCUUUGCUUCGAUCAUACACAAGAAUACAUUUGGAAGGGCAAAAAAUGAACACUGUCGUUCAUUGCAGCCGUGUUUUGUGACACAGAUGCACAGUCUGCUGUGAAGACCUUCUCUCAAGUGGCAUUUGGGAGUCCAUGCCAGAUCAUGGUGCUUCAUGAGAGACUGACAGCUAUCAGGGGUUGUGGCACUUAGUGAGGACUCUCCUCCCCCAGUGUGUGCUGAUGACACAUACACACCUGACAAUAGCUUGAGUCUUCUCUGUUCCUUUUACUCUGUAGCCAACAUACACAUGAUUUAAAACCCUUUCUAAAUAUCUAUCAUGGUUCAUCCUUGUCCAAAUGCAGAGUCAGAGCUAUUUGUACUUCAUUAUUAUUUCCAAGGCGAAUAGUUGGCUUUCUUUUUGCAAAAAUAAUUAUGGGGAAGCAGUUGAAUUUUAAAGAGUGUUUCAUACACUAUCAGGUGGCCAUGAAUGUCAAUUUCUUAAUGAGAUUUUGUGCUAAAUGCUUUUUGCCCUCUUCCCCAUGUUUGUUCUGGUUUAAAAAAAAAAAAAAAAGCACAGUGCAGGGAGGCAGAGAGACCUAAGUUUUUGUCUCAGAAAGCUCCUCAUCAUCUUAAUUCCUUCCGUAUAAAAUGAGGGGUUUGGGCCACACGAUCCCUGGAGCCUCUUCUAUUAAUAGUUCUGA
rnacentral:lncRNA from 1 species